UAUAAUUAUGCAACUAUUUUGCCAAAUUCUGGAAUAAUUGCUUUCAUCGUGUGGGGAUUUAUUAAUUUAUUAAGUUGUAGUUUGAGAAUGGUUACCUACCAAAAACCUUAAAUCAUUCAAAUUGUUUAUUUACAAAAGAAAACUAGAGAUUGUUAAAUGUAAUUAGCAAAUGUUUUAGUAACGAAUGUUCUUGAAGGAAACUAUUACCAGUUCUUUCUUUUUAUAAUUUCCUUCCUCUAUCCAGGUCUUUUGCAUUUCAGUCCCGAAUUGACUAAUUUCUCGGACGGAAUAACAACUUCAUUACCCAUCAAUUAAUUGAAUACAUAUGAAUGAAGAAAAUUCAAAUAAUAUGAAUAUUAGCAGGAAAUUAUCUAUUAAUUUAUUCGACAAUCUUCUAAAUGGUAAACUAAGAGUGAAGCAUAAGGAACUGUACAAGGUCGUUAUAAUUGUUCUUCAUAAUUCAGAAGUAUUUUUUAACUUGCAGAAUUUUUCCAAAGUCAUUGUCACAAUAGUUCAAUGUAUUUGCGACGAACAAUGUCAGCGAAUGAGAUUUCAAUAAGGUCAAUUGGAUACUUAAUUUGAUGUUCUAAUCCAUCAGUUUGUGUGGCGGAGUGUUGGCGUGGACGGCCCACUGCUGCCCUAAGUGAAAUGCAAACUGAUACAAUCUGUUCACAAACGCCUGGCAACACGUAUCACAAACAAUAGAAUUAGUGAACAGAAGCAUUCUGUUCAACGAGUUGCCAUUUUGUCUGAAGCCAAAGAUGAAGAAGCAAGACAAGUUCCAGGAAUUUCAUACAUAAAAAUGAAAUCCAAGCACCAUAGCAGACCAGUGAUCUGUCGCUUCAGUGGAACCCUGUGUCUGGACCAUUACUUGCUCGAAGUGCGUGCAUUCUUCAUGCCUUGUUAUUCCAUUUUC